rnacentral:rRNA from 1 species
UACGGGGGGGGCAAGCGUUGUUCGGAAUUACUGGGCGUAAAGGGCUCGUAGGCGGCCAACUAAGUCAGACGUGAAAUCCCCAGGCUCAACCUGGGAACUGCAUUGGAAACUAACGGGCUCGAGUGUGGCAGAGGGGGGUGGAAUUCCACGGUGUAGCAGUGAAAUGCGUAGAGAUGUGGAGGAACACCGAUGGCGAAGGCAGCCCCCUGGGUUAACACUGACGCCCAGGCCACGGAAAGCGA